UACAGAGGGUGCAAGCGUUAAUCGGAAUUACUGGGCGUAAAGCGCGCGUAGGCGGUCGGGUCAGUCGGUUGUGAAAUCCCCGGGCUUAACCUGGGAAUUGCAGUCGAUACUGCCCGGCUAGAGUGUGGAAGAGGGAAGCGGAAUUUCCGGUGUAGCGGUGAAAUGCGUAGAUAUCGGAAGGAACACCAGUGGCGAAGGCGGCUUCCUGGUCCAACACUGACGCUGAGGCGCGAAAGCGUGGGUAGUGAACAGG
rnacentral:rRNA from 1 species